CAUAAUAGAAGUUGUAGUUUUUACGGAUUGAAGGGACUACAUGGAAUAUAUUGAAACCCAAACCUUCUCCAGGUCCAAUAUUUUGGAGGGUAAUAACGAGAGACAGUAACCAUGAUAGAUAUUUUAAAUCUAUCAUAUAUAGAUUGUACCGUAGUUGUCAAAGGUUACUAGUAAAUGAUGCGGUCUUGGACAACCAAAUCAAUCCAUAACAAUAUCUCUCUCUCAUUCAGAACCUCUCUUCAAGGAUUCUGCAAUCCCCUUGGAGAGACAGUAGGCAACGGACUGGAUGGUGAUCAUAGGAUUAAUCCCAACAGCACUUGGAAGCACACUUGCGUCGCACACAAACAACCCCUGCGCCUCCCAACUCUCCCCGCUCUCAUCCACCCCACCCUCCUCCUCGCUCGCUCCAAUCCUGCAACUCCCUAUCUGAUGAGCAGAGGCAUGCAAGGUCCACAAUUCUCUCCUAGACAUCGGACCUCCCACCGCAGAAAUCCCGUCCAAAAACUCCUCCAAGUCCUUCUCCUCGAUCCCCUUGCAUUUCAUCCUCUGCCCGUCGCUCCGGUGCGUCCCCACUUCCACCGCACCCGCCGCCACCAGAAUCCGCAGCGCCCUCCGCAGCCCCUCCCUCAAAUUCUCCCUGUCCAACGCAUCGAACCGAUACUUCACCCUCCCCUCCCCCUCCACUGUCCCCGAGCCGCGAUCUCUUACUAAUGCAAAGAGAAGCGCCGUCCGGCUGUAUCUCGCCAUCCUCUCCUUCGAGUCUUGCCCCGACACCCAGGGGACCAGCGAAGCAAAGGACGCGGGCCCCAUUGCCGGCGCCUCGAUGAUCGCCCGCAAGCUCGAAUCCGAAUCCUCCACCGCUUUCACUUUGUGCAACGAUGUGAUGAUCCCUCCCUCGAAAGCUCUGCCUCGGUGGUGGUGGUCCGAUGCCGAAUCCGGGAAGUAGCCCCAUGCGAAAACUACUGGGUGAAGGUGCAGGUUCCUGCCUAUGUUUGAAUUUGUCAGCCCGCUAGAAAUCAUCAGCGGGGGUGUCAAGAGAGAACCGCAUGCUGAAAUGGUUGCUUUGGCUUGGAUUCUUAGUUUCUUCGUCACCAUACGGCUUAAAGAUUUGGCAAUCAAUCCCACGCACUUCUUCGUCUUCUUCUUCCCUGGCUCAUUCUCUUUGAAUACAAAUCUCUCAGCUUUGCAUCCGGUUAUGAUCACGGCGCCAUGGUUAACAGCGUCGACCAGCCAAGUAGUAUCAGUCCCACGUUUAUCUCCUUCUCGACAGCCAUAACAGCAGCUGCCACAGAAAUGUCUUUCCGAGGUAUUUCUUGGCACGGAAUCUACUUGAAGACCAAGAUUCUCACAGCCUUUGCGAAGAACCUUGUUCUGAAAUCCUUCUUCAGUGCAAUUCUCCGUGACUCCAAGUCUUCGACAGACUGCGUCCAUUGCUGAGAGAUAGUCUGUGCUCCCGAAGAGACGAAGCCGACGUUCUCCUGCCCAUUCCUUGAGGACGUGGUCUGGUGUCUUGAUGCAAGCUGACCAGUUCACAGCAGAGCCACCCCCGACCGUGGAUCCGGCUAGGAGCAUAAUCUUCCCGUCGAGAGUGCUAAGAAUUCCGCCGGACUCGUACAUUUCGUUCAUGGAGGGGGCUUCGAUGGAGGUGUAGUCUUCCGAUGUGAAGUAGUUGCCCUUCUCAAUGACUACAACCUUGCGACCGGCGCUUGCGAGCACUGCGGCAGCGACUCCUCCUCCGCAGCCGGAACCAACUAUGGCAACGUCGCAUUUAAUUUCGUACAAGUUUUGGUUUGGGUCUUGGGAGACUGCCAGGCCUUUCAUAGUGAGGGACUGGAGGAGGGAUGAAUCAGUUUGAUCCAUGGUUUCUAUGAUACCCUUCUCAAGAGGCCUCUCUGAUUGGGAUUUUGGUGGCUUUUCCUCAGUGGGUAAGCUAUAUCCAAUGGCAUUCCAUGACUGGUUCUCAGAGUUUUCAUUAGUCUGUAGCGAAAAAAGAGAACGGAUCUAUGUUAGGUCUCAUCUUUGGUCCUCUAAGAAAUUGAAAAAUGUUAGGAGUCAUUUAAUCCCCCACAGGAAACUGUAGAGAAGAAGAAUUUCUCUUGAAGAAGAACAAGUACACCCACAAAAAAAAAAAAUAACGAAUCCGCUAAUUGAGAGCAUUAACUGCAAUUCUUCAGUUACUGCUAUCAAAUAUAAACAAGACUAGGAAACUAAUAAGUUGAUAGUAUUGCUUCUCCUAAUUAGCUGCCAACAUUACUUUAUGGUAGUUUAUUGCUAUUACAAUCUAGUGUAAUAAGUUCACAUUUAUUUCUUCUGAAUCAUACAAGUUUUCUCUAUGACUUCAUAGAUCCGACUUUAUUAUAGAUAAAGUCAGUUUUAAGGGGGGCAAAAUAGAAAGCAUAUUUUCUAAUUGGGUAAUCUUUUGCAUCAUGAGCACAGAAGUUAUACCAGUUGUGAGCAAGCAUUCCUUCAAUAUUUUGGUUUUUCUGAUAUAGAAGACAAUUUAGAGCAUUAAACAGUUCUAUGUUCUCCUUAAGACUGGUAUUUGAAGAACUUAUAGGUUCCUAUCAAUCUACAGCAAGUGCCAAUUGGAAAUGAUAAUUGAGAAAGAGAAAGUAACAUAGAAGAUCAAAACAGUUAAGUGAUGAUCUAAUGCUCUUAGUAGUAAAAUAAAGCAUAGAUAAUAAAACAUACCCUUGCUUUCUCAAUAAUGCAAGGGUAGAGUUUUUGUUUCAUCAAAUUAGACUGCACACACUAAAUGUAUGACGAGCAUCAUGUUCCAAUAAACACAACCACCCUAACUGCUCAAUUUAUCUAGAGAAUGGGAAAAUUGGGUCAUUUCAGCAUGAUUAAAGUUUGACGAUAAUCUGGUUCAUAGAAAACAUGUGUGCUGCAUGGUAGUACAAAUAAAGUUGCUAGAGGGUGUGAACUUGGGCCUACUUUGGACAUGAAAUUAAGUCAUGACCAUGACCAGCACCAACAAUUUUGUCCCAUAUAAAUUUUAGUGCAACCCAGUUGAGUUAUUUAAAACUUUGUCUUUGAAUUUAUUGCAACUCUGAAAGAGCACAUGUUUUUUGGUUGUUGACUUAUUUCUAGCAUUAGUAGAACCCUGUACGAGUUAUCUGAAAAGCUAUGUGAACCCAAUUUUAUCCCAUAUAACUUUGUGUGUGUGUGUGUGUGUGUGUGUGUCACUUCUUACGUUUUGAUAUACUUAUUCAAAUUUAUUUAUUAUCAUUUCAGGUUAUUUUGGAUUCGUUGAUUGCACUCUUGAACCCUGGCUUGGUCCAUACCUUAAUGAAAAAGACAAAAAUAAAGGAAGAAUGUCAAAAGAUAAGAAGAACCUUGAAUUCUAGAACAUAGAAGAAAAAAACAACAUGAUACAAUUUUAAAUUCCAAGGACACAUCAGUUGCAGUCAUGAAGGAUAAAAUAUUGAAGAAGUGGUAUUUGAAUGCCAAAAACUGAUGUAGCUCUUUCUUCAGAAGAAAACAAAGUAAAAAGGAGUUAUAGGGAAGUUACCAUGGAGUAAAAGAUGUAAAGGCAGAAGAUCUUCACCAUGACAAAUACCAUCCUUAAAGGUACAAAAUUUUUUUCCUUGUUCCAUCUCUUAAGAACUUCUUCCCUCUUCUCUAUGGGCAUGUCUGAGAACUUGUUGAUGAAUGGGAAUCGCCCACAUAGGCUCAAGGACCUACAGAGGACAAGUGUGCCCAACUUGGUAGCAAGGAGCCAUAAUACCAAUUUGACCAAAAGUAAAGCCUCUUUCAUGCCCCUCUUGACCAACAACUCUGCAACCUACUCCAAAAAAAAAGGAGUUAAGUUAUAUCUGCUAUUUAGAAAAAAAAACAAGAACAAAAGGCCAGAUAUAAAUAGCCAAUAAAAUAGAACAGCAAACAGAAAUAGCUAAUGGUAAAAUACUUGCUAAUGUUUUGAAAACACAGUGGGUUUUCCUUGAAAAAAGAAUAAAACAUCACAUUGGGACAGAAAAUAGGGUCCCCAGUACGGGAAAUAUCUAUGACAAAAGAAGGUUCUGGUAUUAGCACAGAAAGUUAUUCAAACUCCUUGAUAACAACUGCAACAGAUAAACAACAGUCGACCAUAUAAACUACUACAAAUCUAAUUUGUUUAUAUCUUUUUCAAAUUCACCCGUGUUGACUUUAAAAUCUAGUAGCGUCACUUAUAAUUUUAUAUUAAAAUUGUAUAUGGAGGUAAUGCAAGAUGGUUAAUGUGCUCAAAGGAGAAAGAAAAAGUUAAUCAUAAAAUUAUAAAAGCAAACCAAAAACAUCAUGAUGCUCUUCAAAAAUUUCUUAUGAAAAAUGUCACAGAAAGGAGAAGAAGAAAGUAAUAGAUCAACCACCUUAACUGAGAAACAAAAUAAGUAUGAGAAAAAGCAGCCAUUGCAUACUGACCCACGACUAUCCAUGCAUGAUGUAUUCAAAGAGGAAAAGGACCAAAAAAACAAAAAACAAAGCCAAACAAGAAGCACCUCAAAAGCAUUUGUGGAGAGAAAUACUUGGGGAAAAAAAUAAAUAAAAAGAAGCACCUCAUCUGGUAUUGGGGAUUCAGACCCGGAAGCCAGGUAGAAGGCCUGGAGGCUCUUGGUGGGUGGGUCCUCCUUGCCACUGCUGACGUGGAGCUCUUCCAUUGGAAGAGAUGGUAUGAAAGCCUCGCACAUGGCAGCCAGCGAUUGGAUCUGGGAGGGAGAGAAUCCAUGGCUGUGGCCUCCCUUCUCGGUCCUCCUCCCUCCCCUGAGCCGGGGGUGGCCUUGCCUCCUCCCUUCUCCUCCUCCUUCCAUAUAUGUAUUUUUCUCUGGUAGAAAGUAGAAACUAACAAAAGAGCCUGUGGGAGUCGGCACUUUGGGACCGCGACCGCGACCGCGACGAAGUCUUUGUAGACUUUCGGCUUUGGUGGAAAAGUUGAGAGAUAGACUUUCGACUUUGGUGGAAAAAUUGAGAGAUCGAUAGGCUAUAGGCUAUAGGCUACGUAGAGACCGCAAUUUACUCCACCCGAUCCAAUUCAAAUGAGGAUAUAUUUUAUCCAAACCGCAAGGAUCCAAGAUGGAUACCGGCAAAACUCGCUCCGAAUAUAUAUAUUUCUUCACAAUUUUUUUUCUAAAAUAAAAAAAUUGAUUUAUAUAUCUGAAAAAAUGAUUUAUAUAAUUUUAUUCAGUCUGACCCAUCCAAUUUGUUUUAUUUAACUUUAUCUGCUCCAUUUUGCUCCAUAAUUCGACCCGUCCUGCUCUGCUCCAAAGCAAGUACGAGAGAAGUAUGGAUAAUGGCCUAUCGGAUUCAUUGCCAUCUUUUAAGACUUUCAGUUUGAUUAGGAUUUUAUAGGGAAGUGAAAGCACUAAAUGAGUUGCACCUAGGGACUCGUUAACAAGAUCAUAGGCAGAUUCUGACGGGAUUCGUUGGACAUUAAAACUAGUGUUUGUUGAAAUCACCACUUAUCCCAAAAGUUUAAGCUAAUAGAAUGAGGUAAAUUUAUUUAUAUAUUUUAUAUUUUCUUACACUUCUCCUCACAUAUGGGUUGGACUUUUCUUUAAUGAGUGAGCCUAAUAUGUGAAAUUUUUAAUAAUGGGGUUAAAGAGUGCGGAGACAGGGUUCGAACUCAGGACUUCUGCUUUGAUACCAUGUUGAAAUCACCACUUAUCCCAAAAGCUUAAGCUAAUAGGAUGAGAUAGAUUUAUUUAUAUAUUUUAUAUUUUCUUAUGGUGUUCUCGAUAUUUGACACAUGGAAAGGCGUGUGACAGGCAAACUGCUGGAUGUCUAUGGUUUAGCUUGCUUCCAAUACUUCUUUUACACCAUUUGAAACAAGAUAAUUGAAUACAGAGAAGAAGAGGUGACUUCUCUUCAGGCCCACUUUUCUAAUCGCUUUAAAAGCAGAGAUAUUCGGAGAGAAAAGAAUAGGUGCCUUGUGUGUUGUUCGAUUCAUUUGCUUUAAUUCCUCUGCCUACUUCGAAGCUCCUAAUCUGCAAUUAAUAUAUACUGUACUUUCCAAAAUUACUGAUCUCUCUUUCAUUGAAUCCUAGAUUUUAGCUAAACAGAUUUUAGGCUAGUCAUAGAAAUGCCUUCUUUUUUCUAUCUUCAUCUCUUGAUUCAUUCAUCUUUAUCCAAUUUCAAAUCAAUGAAAGCAUUCAAAAUCAACUAAUAACUAAAUUCAAAAGUUUUUAUUCAUGGUUAUGCAAUUUGGAACCUUCCAUCCAAAUAUCGUAAUAUUUUUCUUAGUAGUCUUGCUCUCAUAAUUCAAAAUUUUGUAUUUAUAUUCUUUUACCAUGAAUAUGCAUUGCACAUGCCUGGUUCCUACAAGAAAGCAAUACUUACUUCCUGUUAUCUUUUUUUUUCCUUUUAAUUUCCUUCUUUUCUCUUCUCGCUUCCUUGGGUUUCCAAAUAUAAUAUGACCUUUCACAGGGUAGAUUAUAUUUAUAUAAAAAAUCCAAAAUAAGGAUGGCAACCAGAGAAUUGUGAGAUAAGAGCAUAGAAUUGUAAACUCAUCAUUGAUCUCCUUUUUCUUUUUUCUUUGUUUUUUUUAACAUUCAUGAUAUCUUGAGUCAAAGAUCAAAUGAGAAAUUCCAACACUGAGAACAAAAAGAUUUAACUACACAUGUGAAAGUCCUUAACCUUUUCAUCUCAAAUGAGGGCAUCUAUAAAAGGUACUGCACAAGAUCACUAACUUACCUUGCUCGGAUUGAUCAAACAUACUAGUAAGUCGGUAGACUGUACGUAGGGGUGGCAAUCGGGUUGGGUCAAACAUAAACAGGUCGGGUCAUAUACAGGUCGGAUCAGAAAAUCAUAAUUUUGAACCUAACAUGUUUAUUAAAUAGGUCAAGAAUUACAACUUGAAUUCUACGCCUCCUCCUCCCUCCGCCGGCGCCACAAACACUGCUGCGGCCGUUCCUCCUCCUCCUACUCCGACGAGGAUGAGGACGACGCAAGUUCCUCCUCCUCUUCUCCUCCUCGCCCCGCCGAUCUUCCUCGUCCUCCUCCGCCACCGCCUUCUUCUCUCUUCUGAACUCGGAUCGCAUCUGGUCCAUGGACCCCGCCGCCCGCGAUGCUCGGUGGCGCUCCCUCUACGACCUCUCCUACCCUCUCUUCGUGAACCUCCUCGACGAGCUCCGACCCUUCCUCUCCCCCUCCCCAUCCCAGUCGACCAUGCCCUCGCCCUCGCCCUCUCCCGCCUCUCCUCCCCUGCCCUCAAAGGUUCAAACCCCAGAUCUUUGAGGAGGAAAGAAGUUGGAAAAAUCCUAAUCUUAAUCGCCAACAAGGAAAAGGUCCAACCCGACCCAUAUAUUAAAUGGGUUAAACGGGUCAGACAUCUAAAAUAUAUAUCUGACCCAAUUAGUAAACAGGUUAAACGGGUCAACCUAUUUAUGAUCCGAACCUAUUUAGGCCAAAUCCAAACCUGUUUAUGGCGGGUCGAACACGAGUUGGAUUGGCGGAUCGGGUUAUAUUUUGCCGCCACCUAACUGUACGUUCCCUAAGAAAUUAUGGCGUCAAAAAAUUGAUGUAGAUAAUACUUCCUUAUAUGAAAGCAUUGAUAAAAGUUUAAUCAUACUUGCGGCAAAACUGCUAAUGCUAAAGGAGUCAUUCAUUCUGAUAUGGAAGAUGAAGGGAUGGACUGUUAGGAAUGGAUUAAAGCAUGAAUCAAUUAUAACCCUUCGGUCUUACGAAAAUUACAUUACUUUAGCAUAUAAGGGUAUCAAUUAUAAUUCUGAUAUGGAUCCAUGCUGGCCAAUGGGCAACGCAGCUGCAUGGAUGUAAACUACACUUACGGCUAUUCACCAGGUAGUAUAUACUAGGUUUUCUCUUUGAGGAGGGAUUUUAAGCCUCACUCAUUCUUGGAAUUUUAAUAUACCGUUAAAAUAAAGGUAGCAACUUUUAUAGUAUCCAUUUUUUUAUUUCCAAAUUAGAUCAUGCGACGCAGAUUUUGGUGAAUAAUAAGCUGGUAACUUUGAUGAUGAUCAUGGAAAUAAAUUGUUAUAAGAAUCAUAUGUUGAAUAUCUAAAUUAUUAUUGUUUUACUUCAUGUUCAAGCAAGCAAGUCUCAUUCAUGCAACUUGAGUGGGGUAAGGUUGUAGAUAGACUCUAGCCAAUCCUACUUCUAAAUCUGGCAGCUUUAGUCUAACUCAUCCCUAUCCUGAUUAGGGUUUCUCUAACCCAACUCAACUGAACCCAACCCAAUCUUAAACUAAAUUCCGUGCAUCGCAUUAAUUAGGUUAGAUCAAGUUGAAUAAAAAUUUUAAGAUAAGGAAAAAAGUUUUAAGAAGUUUUUAUGAGAUUAAUAUUUCUAAGAUGGAGACCUCAACCAUUGAUCAAUCUGGAUGCUGCACUAACACAUAAACUAAGAAGAUAAAAAUAUACCUACAUAAUAAGUAGUCUAUAUAAAAUAUAAAUAUUAUAUAUAACAUACAUGAAGUUUUAUAUAUGCUCUUGUGAAUUCAGAAAAUAAUGAUAUUAACAUGAUUUUAAUUUUAUUUAUCUUUCUUUCAAGAUAAUUUUGAUUUGGUGGUUCAAAAAAUUAACUAUCUAAUUUAUAUGUACAUCUAUAUCCAUAAACUUAAUAUCCAAUUUGUAUCCAUAUCUAUCUAAAUAAAAUAUGAAGAUAAAAUUCAGUAUUGGACUAAUACUUGCAUUUAGGGUUGUAACUUUCAAUUUGAAACUGAUUUGAAAUUAAUCUGGUCCAACUCAAACCAAAACUAUUUAGAUUAUGUGCGGAUUCAAACCCAUGACCUGUCUGGAACUUGGAUUGUAUUUGGAUCUUUAAAUUCUCAAUCCGAACCCAAACCAUUUCAAAACUAGUAUGUUGUAUAUCUCAAAACCCUUGUUGAAUAUAAGAAUUUAGGUAAAAUAUAAUCUUGGCGAUAUUUACAUAUUCAGUGUAUGCGUAUAAUAUGAUUAGAUAAUUAUUUUUAAAUAUGCAUUAUGAUUUAUGUUUGAAUUAUUCUUUACCCGAUUUGAUGUGAGAAAUUUAAUGACUUGAUCAAAUUAAUAUUAAAUCUGAUAACAUGCAAUUUCAAAGAAAUUAGACUAGGUUUUGGAUUCGAAUUUUUUGAUCUGGUUCAACUAUGGGCUGGAUUUGAGUCCUUGCAGCCCAACCCGGAUCUAUAUCCGAACGGAUAUUGAUCCGUAUCGGAUCCAUUUUCAGCGGCCUGCCUCACCCACCAUUCCUCGGCGUCUGCGCUCUCUCUCUCUCUCUCUCGGAAACCCUUGAAUUCCAUGUACGCAUCUCUCUCUUUCUUGAUCUUGUAUAUUAGAAUGAUCGUUUUGAGUCUCGCGUUCUCGAUUGUUGUUUUACGUUUUGUUCGACUGCCUUGGAUUUCAUCCGAUCCGAACAUUUUUGAUCUAAUUCUUUCUUCAGUACUCUCCAGUGCCAGAUCCAUACAAGUGUAGUUUAUGGAUAUUGGAUUUCAUCCGAUCCGGGACAUUUUUGAUCUAAUUCUUUCUUCAGUACUCUCCAGUGCCAGAUCCAUACAAGUGUAGUUAAUGGAUACGGAUCUAGGGUUUCGAUCUGCAGUUUUUUUGUAUUUUCCCAUAGGGGUUCUUGAUUGCCACUCCAGGCAUCGAGAAUCUGGUUGAUAUUUGGAUAAUUUUGAUGUUGAUUCUGAGUACUGUUUUAUGUUUAUUAUUUUUUCUUUCCAGAAAUCGGAGAUCAUGGGGCAUGAGUACAAAGAUUACUCCAAGGUCUGACACUGUAACUUUACUAAGUUCCCUAGUAAUUUUCGUGUUUCUUAUAUUUUAUUUCAAGGAUUUUGAUGCUCCUUUGUGAAUCCUGUGUUGAAAUUUUGCUCAAUAAAUGGCUUAUCAAAGUCCAUUAGCUUCUAUUCUGUAUUCUUCGGUCUGUAGGUUUUAUGUUAAGAUGAGAUUAAUAUUUAUAAUAUAUGGCGAGAGACAUGAUACAUCGUUCGGUUGAAAUUGCUUUUGUGGCUGAGCUGAUUGUAAUCACCAAUUCAACACUUUGAUGCACUGAUGCAACCCAAUUUAGAUCAGAUAAAAAGGGUUGUAUUUUAGAUGGCAGUUCGAGUUCGUAUGCUAGCUACCAAUUUUAUUGCUGUUGGCAAAGGAACUGCAUAAACAUAACACUGUCUUUUGCUCUGAUUACAAGCAAUCCGCUUCAAACUUUACUUUCUGAUCAUUGUAAACUUGGGAGUCUACCAGCUUCCCUGUCCCCCCACCUCCCAAACCCUCCUGGCCUUCGGAUAAAUAACAAACAAGUGCCAUUGUUACAAUAAGAGAAACUAUUACAUUUCACACCACCCAUCUGUCGGAAUCUUGAUCCCAGGCCCACAACCUACAUGGUACUCUCCCUUAGAAGCCAGGAUUGACAGUAAAAAUGAACUUAUAAGGGGGAAAUGAGUAUUGUAUGUUUUACACAAUAUUAUUUGGCAUGAGAAAUUGGAGCUGGAGCAUAAUUCAAUGCUAUAAUUUAGUGACAUUUGAAUUUUAAUCCUUACGCCAUAUAGACUCUGGUGAAUAUCUAUAGGAGUCUAAAUACCUGUCAUUGUGUCAAUAACUUACUCAUAGAUAUCAGCAUGUCCUUUGUAAUAUUUACCAAGUCAAUUCCUUUAAAUGAAUUGCUGACAUUUGAGAACAAGUUUGCUAUGUGCAAUAGCUAUUCUUGAUCAUUCCGUUAGUCUGAUGGUGCAUCCCAAAUAUGCUGACCGACGGAGGAGUUCAUGGGCCACGGCUGAAUCGGGAUGCCGUGGCUCCUCUUCGAUGUUAUUGGUCAUGCAACUUUUCUUUAUUCUCCAAAUAUAAUUAUUUUUCUUCAUAUUGAAAGAUGAGGGGAAAGGCAAAACAUUAUGUUUCAGACGAACACUGCAAAAAAAAGAAAAGAAAAAAGAAAAUAGGGAAAGAAGAGAAAUAAAGGAGAAAAGAAAAGAAAAAGAAAAUGAUCUAUAAAGGCUUUGACGUGCAACAGAAUUCGAAAAGAUUUCAAGAUUUUUGAGGAGCAGUAUUCGCAGUCGUAAUAGAAGUUGUGGUUUUACGGAUGGAAGGGACUAUAUGGAAUAUAUUAAAACCCAAACCUACUCCAGGUUCAAUAUUUUGGAGGGUAAUAACAAGAGACAGUAACCAUGAUAGAUAUUUUAAAUCUAUCAUAUAUAGAUUGUCCUGUAGUUGUCAAAGGUUACUAGUAAAUGAUGUGGUCUUGGACAACCAAAUCAAUCCAUAACAAUAUCUCUCUCAUUCAGACCCUCUCUUCAAGGAUUCUGCAAUCCCCUUGGAGAGACAGUAGGCAACGGACUGGAUGGUGAUCAUAGGAUUAAUCCCAACAGCACUUGGGAGCACACUUCCGUUGCACACAAACAACCCCUGCGCCUCCCAACUCUCCCCCCUCUCAUCCACCCCACCUUCCUCCUUGGUCGCUCCCAUCCUGCAACUCCCCAUCUGAUGAGCAGAGCCAUAGAUGGUCCACAAUUCUCUCCUAGACAUUGGACCUCCCACCGCAGAAAUCCCAUCCAAAAACUCCAAGUCCUCCUCCUCGAUCCCCUUGCAUUUCAUCCUUUGCUCGUCGCUCUGGUGCGUCCCCACUUCCACCGCACCUGCCGCCACCAAAAUCCGCGGCGCCCUCCGCAGGCCCUCCCUCAAAUUCUCCCCGUUUAACUCAUCGAACCGAUACUUCACCCUCCCCUCCCCCUCCACCGUACCCGAGCCGCGAUCUCUUACCAAUGCUAAGAGAAGCGCUGUACACCAGAGUUGUGCAGGAUAUCUUUAAAAAAAUAUAUAAUUUAUGAAUAAUUUAUUUGACAAAUCUCAUACUUUUUAGAUGAUCACAGUCUGAUAUAUCAAAAAUUAUUAUCUUUUCUAGUUCAAAGAGAGCCUUAGUGCAACAGUACGGUUGCUCCAUUGUGACAUGCAGGUCACGGGUUCGAAUGUUGGGUAAGGCCGUGUUAUCUAACCAUCCUUAGACCUCAUAAUGGUGGAAGCCUCGUGCAUUGAGCUGCCAUUUUUAUCAUCUUUUCCUAGUUUAAAUUUUUCCCAAGUCUAUGAAAAUUUUGUACACUUGCUUCUUGAUUGCAUGAGUUGAAACAAAGGAAUAAGAUUUCCUGGCAGGCCCUUCUCCUGCCUAAUUUUGCUUUGCCAAGAAAUUUGGCAUCAACUUAUACAAGGUUCUUGUCCGGUCGACUCUUUGUAAUAAAGUUUGCUCAAUUCCAUGUUUUAUGGGGAAAGGUUUGGAUGAUGGUGAUGUCAACCGUAUACUGUUGAUCAGUAGGUUAAACAUUUUUACAAUUUUAUCUUGCUAUUUGUGGUGAAUUAUCGUUUCCUUUGCUCACUCGCGUUUCACUUUUAGAACAUUAAAAAUUUCAUAAUUGGGUUGAGCAAUUUCAGGCUCCUUGAUUAACUUUGAUCUGAUAAUAUGAACCGAUACUUGAGGCUUUUGACAGAAAACUAAAAGAAAAGUAGAGGCUGUGUUCUCUAUUUGUUUUCAGAUGGAACUAAAAUAUUUGCUUGUCAAGCAGAAUUUCUACCAUCUAAGAAGUGCCAUCUUCUGUUUUGGUUAUGUUCAAUAAAUUAGUUUUUUUUGGGGUUCGUUUCCUUCGUUCUCAAAUGCUGUGCUUAGUAGUAGUCCAGCUUGUGCGUUGAGCUGCUUGAUUGUUGCAAGUUGGGAAAUGAAUUAUGUGGCCAGAACAAAAGCUUGGAUAUUUGGGUCCUUGAAGCAUAGGUAACUUUAUCCGGCUAGCACUAAAGAUCAUGGUGCAUUCAUUUGUAGACAGUGCAAUAAAACAUAUUUUGAGAUUUGCCUAUAUGUGAUUUAUUUGAUGUAACAUUGUAGAAUAAAGCAUAUUACACUUCAGCAAUAUAAGACAGCAUCUAUGAAGGCUUCCUUGAUCAAAAUAUAUUGCAAUAAUCUUACUGAAACACAUUUAAACUUAUGCUAAUUUCAUUU
rnacentral:lncRNA from 1 species